rnacentral:rRNA from 1 species
AGCGAACGCUGGCGGCAGGCCUAACACAUGCAAGUCGAACGAACAGUUCGGAGUUGGUGGCGGACGGGGGAGGAACACGGGGGAACGUGCCCAUUGGUUCGGCAUAACUCAGGGAAACUUGUGCUAAUACCGAAUGGGCCCUUCGGGGGAAAGAUUUAUUGCCAUUAGAGCGGCCCGCGUCUGAUUAGCUAGUUGGGGAGGUAACGGCUCACCAAGGCGCCGAUCAGGAGCUGGUCUGAGAGGAUGACCAGCCACACUGGGACUGAGACACGGCCCAGACUCCUACGCGACGCAGCAGUGGGUAACCUUGCGCACUGGGCGAAAGCCUGACGCAGCCAUGCCGCGUGAAUUAUGAAGGUCUUAGGAUUGUAAUAUUCUUUCACCGGGGACGAUAAUGACGGUACCCGGAGAAGAAGCCCCGGCUAACUUCGUG